GUGAACGCUGGCGGCGUGCCUAACACAUGCAAGUCGAACGAGACCUUCGGGUCUAGUGGCGCACGGGUGCGUAACGCGUGGGAACCUGCCCUUAGGUUCGGAAUAACAGUUAGAAAUGACUGCUAAUACCGGAUAAUGUCUUCGGACCAAAGAUUUAUCGCCUUUGGAUGGGCCCGCGUUGGAUUAGCUAGUUGGUGGGGUAAAGGCCUACCAAGGCGACGAUCCAUAGCUGGUCUGAGAGGAUGAUCAGCCACACUGGGACUGAGACACGGCCCAGACUCCUACGGGAGGCAGCAGUGGGGAAUAUUGGACAAUGGGCGAAAGCCUGAUCCAGCAAUGCCGCGUGAGUGAUGAAGGCCUUAGGGUUGUAAAGCUCUUUUACUGGGGAUGAUAAUGACAGUACCCAGAGAAUAAGCUCCGGCUAACUCCGU
rnacentral:rRNA from 1 species